rnacentral:RNase_P_RNA from 4 species
AUGAGUCGGGUAGCUGACUUCGGAACAGCCCAUUAGAUUGGGAAAGAUUGAAAUGAAUCUUUGUUCUGAGGAAGGUCCGGACACCAUCGCGAAAGCGAUUCGUGCGAGCCAUGAAAGUGGCCUGUCGUGAGGCAGAGCUCUGGUAUAGAAACGACACAGCUCUCUUUGAGCUAUGAACUUUGCAGGGAGCAGAGAGAAGAGAGAUUUGCUGGAACGAGCAACUUCGCUGGUGCAAGAGCCCAAGCCGCUCGCUUAGUAGGAUGUCAGCAGAUUCCGCCUGUCUCCCCGGAGAAACAGGGAAUGACAAAAUCCGGCCUAUUCCCGACUCAU